GUGUUCCCUCUUUUUAUUAGAGCCUGCAGAGGACAUUAAAAUCAGAUUCACAUUGUGUGAAUUAGCUAUUAACCUGCCAAUGCCAGCAGAAAUAUGGGCUCUUUCCUUACGAGGAACUGAAUUCUGCUGAGGAAGCACAAUGCCUACAUACAGCACAUUUAUGUGCAGUUCCCUGUGCAUCAGCAACACUGCAAGGAGACGGGGGUAGGAGGGUGCACAGCACAUCCCAUACAUUCACCAGCACAACCUCUGCAAGCAUCUUUACCCACUCUGAGCCUACAGCACCUCCAGAUUCACCCUGCACACGCGGGCAGUCCGCACACAGCGGCCCUAAACAAGCCUUCCUUCUCAAACUGCACAUCUAAUGAAGCACAGUAUUAAGAGAGGUUCGUUUCUGAAUGUGGGAAGAAGCAAAGAAAAACCAGGAGCUUCACUUGAAAAAUGGAGGCUUGUUGUCAGAGAUCUCCUGUACAGCUGGUAGGGGAACAUAUUUAUGUCCUCUGGAUACAACGAGCCUGCAGGAGAGAACCAGUGGCUGUUCCUUUGCAGAGAGAUCCAUCUGCUCAUGGGGGCAGACAGGCUGGGGAAGGGCAGCCUCCUCAUACAGCCCUCUGAACAUGCAUGUGGGCACACACACAUUCACACACAGGCUUUGCCUUUCCCUGCGUCCUGAAGAUUCAGCUGAUGCUUUCAGGAGUUUAUGUAACACCAUCAUUGCUGGUUAACGCAUUGGAAAUGCUGAGCGGCAAUUAAAU
ensembl:lncRNA